rnacentral:rRNA from 1 species
GUGAGGAAUAUUGCGCAAUGGAGGCAACUCUGACGCAGCCAUGUCGCGUGCAGGAAGAAGGCGCUACGCGUUGUAAACUGCUUUUAACCGGGAAGAAACCCCAGGACGUGUCCUGGGUUGACGGUACCGGAGGAAUAAGCACCGGCUAACUUCGUGCCAGCAGCCGCGGUAAUACGAAGGGUUCAAGCGUUAUCCGGAUUCAUUGGGUUUAAAGGGUGCGUAGGCGGAUCGUUAAGUCAGUGGUGAAAUCCUGCAGCUUAACUGUAGACUUGCCAUUGAUACUGGCGCUCUUGAGUGCGCUUGAAGUGGGCGGAAUGUGCCGUGUAGCGGUGAAAUGCUUAGAUAUGGCACAGAACACCAAUUGCGAAGGCAGCUCACUAAGGCGAUACUGACGCUGAGGCACGAAAGCGUGGGGAUCGAACAGGAUUAGAAACCCGUGUAGUAC